UUGGUUUUCUCGAUUUGUCGAACAACAGUUUGUCUGGAAAAAUUCCAACCGGCACUCAACUUCAGAGCUUCAAUGCUUCGUAUUAUGCCGGUAAUGAUGGACUAUGUGGCAACCCUCUACCAAAGUGCCCCGGAGAUAUCUUGAGGCCAUCCACCACUAAUUCGAAGGGAAACAUGAAUGAGAAAGACAACGUCUUCUCAUUUAUGCAAGAAGUUGGCAUAUCGAUGGGCUUUGGUUUUAUAUUUGGAUUUUGGGGAGUUAUUGGUUCAUUCGUAUGGAAGAAAUCAUGGAGAAUUGCAUUCUUCAACUUGUUGGAUGUUGUUGGAGAUUGGUUCUACGUCAGGAUUGUUGUGUUUGUAUCCAAAUGGAGAAGAAAUUGAAAUGCAAUACAGCGGUGACACUACUCGCUUUAGAGAUGAAACAAGGUGAACAAACUCGGAGCUGGUGAUCUUAUUUCUAAGUUAUUGUAAUUUUAAUGUUUUAGUGUUUUUACUUUCCUAUGUAAACUGUAUGUUGGUAUGUAUAUGUUUUAUCUAGUCUAUGCAUAGUUUAUGACCCCGUAUUAAAUGCGUAUGUUGAUUUAUAUAAUUUUAUUUAGAUUACUGUAAUUAUGACUGAAUUUUUUAUGUGUAAGCAUAAUAUUAAUUACGAUUACUCUUAUAUCAAUUUAUAAUUUAUUUCA